rnacentral:misc_RNA from 1 species
CUAAAAGUGAUGCAAAUAAUAAAAGUAUUUUGAAGGCCAAAAUAUCAUAAAGCAAAAGGUGAAAAAGGAAAACUCGCUCCUAGAUGACUUUAUAAAGACUAUUAUACAAUGAUGGUAAUUUAUGAUGAUCAAAAUACAAUUUAGUCCUGAGGGCGAAUGCCGAAAAAUGAUCUAUAUAACUGACCACUAGUAGUUUGGGAUUAAGACUUAGUAAUUGUAUUAUUACUCUGAGGACGCUUUAAUUUCAGAAGAUGCGACAGACCUGCAAUGACAUGUAGUCGACUACUUGGAACACCCGUCUUUGCCAAUGCUCUCCCAUUUUUGUCCAACAGUACAAAGCAAGGAACAUAUCUUAUGUCAUAAUGGAGCAGCUGCGAAAGUUGAUAUCAAAAGUCAACCAAGGCUUCAUACAAAAACCAUGUCUACUUCAUGUCUUCAAAUCAUCCAAGAAUGAUAUCUUAAAAACAUAAAUAGUAUGCUCAAUAUAGUAAGGCGAGUGUUUUAAUCAUUAUAAUUAUUAGUUGCAGCUUUUCGUAUUAUUGGCCUACAGUACAACUCAAUCUAAUAGAGCAAUAAUCACCCCCCUUUUUUUAUUCUUAUGAAUUAUUAAGUGUUGGUAACUAAGGCAGUCUUGGGGUUUCCAUUGCAUAGCCAACCUCUAGAAUGGAUCCUAACAAAAUGGAUUGAAAGAGAAAAAAAUGCAUCCAUUCUGAGAUCUCAAUUAUUAAGAUAUACCAACCAUUAUUCCCUAAUUAUAUCAUUACAUAAACUUAAUCAUCCACGUUGCAAACUCAACAUGCCAACAAUGUGAAAUUCAAUAUUCUACAAGUUAUUGAUGAAACAAUUAGCUUGCAAAAUGCCACAUUGCAUUGCAGCAAUUAUUAUGCAUAAUCAAACCUAAUUAUUUCCUUGACAACACAAUGAGUAAUCAUUUACUUCUAAUUGCUGUCAUGAACCCAAGAGAAAAACAAGAAACACAAUUGAAAAUAUGUACCCAUAAUCUUAAUGUUCAUGUUCAAUGCAAUCAAAUAGACAAAAACAAUUAAAAUUUAACCAAUCACGAAUUCUCAGUUUCACCCCUAAAAUUUUCAACCUCCAACAACUUCAAUAAAUAAAAUGUAAAGGUAAGUAGAAUACCUCAGGCAGCCAUUUCUCAUUCUCUGCAUCUGCCAUUACAACAUUAAGCCAACUUGAAUUCCUGCUCUCGACCUCCAGGACAAAAUUAAGCAAAGAAUUGCACAACCUACAUUUGGGUGAGUAGAACUCCAGCACAGUAGCCUCUUUCCCAGUUGCUAGUGCGGAGGCAAAUGCUCUUUGCUCUGCCUCUCCUUGCUCUUCAAGAGUUAAGUGCUUUCUUUGCAACUUCAAACUGUUAUUUUGGCUUGUUCCAGCAUCCAUUUUGACAGCAUUAAAGGUAUGCAACCAAGAAUUUGAAGAUUUGGCAAUUGAGUUCAGUGAAUUGAAAGCAAUGGACCCAAGAGUAUGAAAAGAUUUGAAUAGCCAAGGAACCUCAAAGGUGCAUACAUUAGGAUUUUUAGGAUGUUGUUCAACAUCCCAUGGCCAUUUCAGACAAAACGAAGGUUGUUUAGGAGCAGGACCCAUCUUCAUAUGUAUUCGCUUGGUUUCCGGCGAAAAUACCGGUCCGCAUUCGUCGUUGGGUUUGAGGGAACUAUGGGGAGAUGCUGGCUGGACUGGCCUGAAAGAAUGGGAACAGAGUCGAUUCUUGCAUCUACUUCCCGCCUGCGAUUUUCCGGCGAAUAUUUCAGUUGCCGGAGGUCGUUCUCGAAUCCGGAAAGUGAUGUAACCAGCUAAGGGUAGGUCGCAGCAAACCCAGAGCUAAUCUCUCUCCUUUCCGCUAUCUUUUUACAUUUGCGUUUUGUUUAUGCCCUCUAGUUUUACUGGCAGAAAAUUUAGCUAUUUUUAUAGGGUGAAAUUAAGGUUAAAUUAUUAUGACGUCACUGUAUGAUGUUAAAA